rnacentral:rRNA from 1 species
UGGGGAAUUUUGGACAAUGGGCGCAAGCCUGAUCCAGCAAUGCCGCGUGCAGGAUGAAGGCCUUCGGGUUGUAAACUGCUUUUGUACGGAACGAAAAAGCUCUCUCUAAUACAGGGGGUGAAUGACGGUACCGUAAGAAUAAGCACCGGCUAACUACGUGCCAGCAGCCGCGGUAAUACGUAGGGUGCAAGCGUUAAUCGGAAUUACUGGGCGUAAAGCGUGCGCAGGCGGUUUUGUAAGACAGAGGUGAAAUCCCCGGGCUCAACCUGGGAACUGCCUUUGUGACUGCAAGGCUGGAGUACGGCAGAGGGGGGUGGAAUUCCACGUGUAGCAGUGAAAUGCGUAGAGAUGUGGAGGAACACCGAUGGCGAAGGCAGCCCCCUGGGCCUGUACUGACGCUCAUGCACGAAAGCGUGGGGAGCAAACA